UACGUAGGUGACAAGCGUUAUCCGGAAUUACUGGGCGUAAAGCGCACGCAGGCGGCGCAUUAAGUCUGACGUGAAAUCUCCUGGCUUAACUGGGAGGGGUCGUUGGAGACUGAUGUGCUUGAGGCGAUGAGAGGGGUGUAGAAUUCCCGGUGUAGUGGUGGAAUGCGUAGAUAUCGGAGGAAUACCAGUGGCGAAAGCGACACCCUGGCAUUAGCCUGACGCUCAUGUGCGAAGGCGUGGGGAGCGAACGGG
rnacentral:rRNA from 1 species